GGGCCAUUAGCUCAGUUGGUUAGAGCAGAGGACUCAUAAUCCUUUGGUCGCUGGUUCGAGCCCAGCACGGCCUACCA
rnacentral:tRNA from 1 species